rnacentral:lncRNA from 1 species
GAAUCAACCCAUUGCAGUAGUCGAGCACAUCAUAUGGAGCGUUUCGGAUGGCAACAGUCUAGAAUAUGACUCAACAAACCCAUCGCCAGCAAUGUAAUUACUGUCACCAUCAGAAUACGAGACAAAGUCCAUAAAGUAUUCAUUUCUAUUAGAAGGGUUUCCAGUACGGAACAAAAGGCCAGAUAGCUGGGAGGAUGCCCUCGAAAUUCUGGGAAUGCAAACAUCGGAAAUAAUAGUGCGUUCCAUAAUUUGCAUACACACUUGAAUCCAACCAGAGCCUUUAUGGGCAGUCGACAAAGAAUUUCAGUUAUGCAGUCUUCUGAUAAGUACUCUGUCAUAUGUUUUGUUUCCAUUUUCUAAGCUAAUCUAAUUCAAACCAAAUGAAAUUCCAUAAAUAAGCAACACAUCUGACAUAUAUAUAUAUAUAUAUAUAGAAACUGAGCAACAGAAGCUAACCUGCUAAAUAGAAGAAAAAACCCAAAUGCAAACCAGGUUAUGAUUAGGUGAGCAGCUAUAUUUCAUUUCCACAAAUGCAUCAGGGGAAUUCUAAAGAUUGGGUGGGUUUUAAGAGAAUUAUAAAGAUUGGGUGGGUUUUAAAAGUUGAAGUUGUUUAAUGGGUUCUGUUUCUGGAAGAGAAAUGGUUCAAGUUGGUCAGUGGGUUUUGUGUAGGAAAUCAAUAUCAUUAUCACCCACCAACAACAGAUUCCACCGCCCUACCUGGGAAUUCUUUGAAACACUUCAAGCUGGUAAAUUCCCACGCGGGAUUGGGCCUGAAUUUGGACCUCCCACAAAAGGGUAGGUUUGAGAUAUUCUUUGUUUGAAUGGGGAAGGAGUAAUUUUGGUGGAUUCUUAAAUAAUUACUUAUUUGAAAAGUCAGUGAAGAACUGAAGAUUGUAUUGAUUGUGAUCAGGUGAAUGCCAGCUUUGGGCCCUUUGCCGCACCAUUUUUUCUUUCUAAACUCUUAGACAGUGUUUAUUUUUUGGAGUGAGAGUGUGGAGUGUAGAUUUUUCCUACUUCAGUGUUUAUUUAUCUUUAAAAAAAGAAGAGCGGGAGUGAAAAUUUAUGGAUCUCAUCUAAUUUUGGAGUGGGGAGUGGGAUUCCCA